GGAGAAGAGGAGCCAGGUGAGGGCAUGUGGAGAAAAGAGGAUCCAGUCAGGUCUCAGAAAGUUCCCCAGCAAGGACAUGGUUGGAACCUGGAGCUUCUGUCCCUCCCCUCGAGGGCAUGGAGCAGAAUGGGGCUGCUCCCAACCCACCAUUCCCCGCCCCAAUAAGGUAAUUACAGGUGACGCCAGCCAAGGGCCACUGCCCGCUGAGUAAUUUGUGUCUUAGCGGAACUGGGAGGACCGAACUGCCCUGCCAAUUAUGCCUGCAGAGCUGUCUGCCUGCCCCACCUGGGCCAGUCCCUCUGGAUUCCAUGCCUGUCCUCAGUCUUGUAGGGACAAAGGGCACCACUUGAGAGCCUGGUCAGCAACAGCUCCUUGAGGCUCAUCCUGGCCCUGGAAGGAUCACUAGUAGUCUGGGCCCUUCCACGUCUCUCCUCCAAGCAGAUUUAGCUGCUGGCCUUGGGGUUCAGGUGGUCUUAGCCUCUUUCUUGCCUGGCCUAGCUGGUCCCUGCUCUUGCAGCCCAUUGGCCUCCAAGCUCCUGACUUGGGCUGGGCCCUGCACCACAGGCAAACAGGCCAGGUGGGUGGAGAGGGAGGAGGUCAGGGAGCAGCAGGUGGAUGCUCGUAACAGUCUCUGGGCGGCCUGCCCAGCGCUUAUGCAACCCUCCCCCACAGUGGACCGCUCGCUUGCUGUGGCUGUCAGGCUGGGCUCCCUCUGGCACUGGCAGCACCGAUACCUGGCAGCUUUUGACACAGCUGCUCCCUAAGAAAGGGAUGUAGGAGAAGAUAGAGGAACCUAAUAAGGGAGGAAGGGUAGAGACAAACGGGGGACCUUUACCCUCUUCAGUCUCAUCUGAGGAUGGCAUGAGGAUCCCCCAAGUUGAAAGCUAGAACUAAGCCACACUGCCUGCCCUGGGAGCAGCAGAGGAGGGACAGCAGGGCUUUCCCCGGCCAGAGCUGUGGGAGGUGUGAGGGGCAACUCUUGCAGGUCUCUGGGGCAUAUGCCCCCAAUCCGGGACUGUCCAGGAGAGCGAGGGCCUGCGUGCUCCUUCACCUGGACAGCAGCAGCAGUGGACUCCUGCGGCCCCUGCACCUGAUGGGACCUACUGCCCCUGGGGCACAUUUCUCUGCCACCACCACUCCCACUGUGGUCACCAGAACCAUAGUGGUGGUAGUGGGGAUCACUAGGAUCCAAAAGUCAAUGAUUUGAAUAAACAGAAUUUCUUCUUCCUUUGUAAAAGUCAA